UACGGAGGGGGCGAGCGUUAUUCGGAAUUAUUGGGCGUAAAGGGCGCGUAGGCGGCUGUACAAGUCAAAGGUGAAAUCCCUCGGCUCAACUGAGGAACUGCCUUUGAAACUGUACGGCUUGAGGCCGGGAGGGGGUAGCGGAAUUCCCAGUGUAGCGGUGAAAUGCGUAGAUAUCAGGAGGAACACCUGCGGUGUAGACGGCUUACUGGACCAUAACUGACGCUGAGGCACGAAAGCGUGGGUAGCAAACAGG
rnacentral:rRNA from 1 species